CAGCAGCAGCCACGGUAAUACAGAGGGUGCGAGCGUUAAUCGGAUUUACUGGGCGUAAAGCGUGCGUAGGCGGCUUCUUAAGUCGGAUGUGAAAUCCCUGAGCUUAACUUAGGAAUUGCAUUCGAUACUGGGAAGCUAGAGUAUGGGAGAGGAUGGUAGAAUUCCAGGUGUAGCGGUGAAAUGCGUAGAGAUCUGGAGGAAUACCGAUGGCGAAGGCAGCCAUCUGGCCUAAUACUGACGCUGAGGUACGAAAGCAUGGGGAGCAAACAGGAUUAGAUACCCGGGUAGUCCCUGUCUCUUAUAC
rnacentral:rRNA from 1 species